rnacentral:rRNA from 1 species
GCAGUAGCCACGGGAAUACAGAGGGUGCGAGCGUUAAUCGGAUUUACUGGGCGUAAAGCGUGCGUAGGCGGCUUCUUAAGUCGGAUGUGAAAUCCCUGAGCUUAACUUAGGAAUUGCAUUCGAUACUGGGAAGCUAGAGUAUGGGAGAGGAUGGUAGAAUUCCAGGUGUAGCGGUGAAAUGCGUAGAGAUCUGGAGGAAUACCGAUGGCGAAGGCAGCCAUCUGGCCUAAUACUGACGCUGAGGUACGAAAGCAUGGGGAGCAAACAGGAUUAGAUACCCCUGUAGUCCCUGUCUCUUAUAC